UACGUAGGUGGCAAGCGUUGUCCGGAAUUAUUGGGCGUAAAGCGCGCGCAGGCGGUUUCUUAAGUCUGAUGUGAAAGCCCACGGCUCAACCGUGGAGGGUCAUUGGAUACUGGGGGACUUGAGUGCAGAAGAGGAGAGCGGAAUUCCACGUGUAGCGGUGAAAUGCGUAGAUAUGUGGAGGAACACCAGUGGCGAAGGCGGCUCUCUGGUCUGUAACUGACGCUGAGGCGCGAAAGCGUGGGGAGCAAACAGG
rnacentral:rRNA from 1 species